AUAAAAGUGAAGACUUCCUCUGUGAAGACCCAGCUCUUUCUUUGGCUCCUUUUUUGAAUCCAUCUUUGCUCUGCUCUCCUCUGCUGCCCAGGCUGGAGUGCAGUGGUGUGAUCCUGGCUUACUGCAACCUUGUUCUCCUGGGCUCAGGCGUUACUCCCACCUCAACUGCCCGAGUAGCUGGGACCACAGACGCUCAUUCCAGAGGGGUCCUGCCCCAUACCCAAGAGGAAGGAAUGCUACUCAGAGAGGCCAAGAAGAAUCUGCAUAGACAAGCCUUGUGUGUUCCCCACUCAGUCUAUCACAAUUAGAUUCAUC